rnacentral:rRNA from 1 species
CCUACGGGCGGCUGCAGUGGGGAAUAUUGGACAAUGGGCGCAAGCCUGAUCCAGCAAUGCCGCGUGGGUGAAGACGGCCUGCGGGUUGUAAAGCCCUUUAGGUGGGGAAGAAGGAGGCUGGGUGAAUAGCCGGGUCUUUUGACAUUACCCACGGAAUAAGCACCGGCUAACUCCGUGCCAGCAGCCGCGGUAAUACGGAGGGUGCGAGCGUUAAUCGGAAUGACUGGGCGUAAAGCGUGCGUAGGCGGUAACGUCAGUCAGUCGUGAAAGCCCUGGGCUUAACCUGGGAAUGGCGAUUGAGACGGCGUAACUCGAGUGGGCUAGAGGACUGUGGAACUCCCGGUGUAGCGGUGAAAUGCGUAGAGAUCGGGAAGAACACCGAUGGCGAAGGCAGCGGUCUGGGGCCACACUGACGCUGAGGCACGAAAGCGUGGGGAGCAAACAGGAUUAGAUACCCGAGUAGUC